ensembl:lncRNA
UUCUGCCACAAAAUACAAAAUCCCCUGGCAUCACAUAUAGCGUUACACAAUCUGAAGGUUUAGCACAAUCACCUGCAGUAGAGACAAAUGUCUGUGGCAACUCCUCUGAAACUUCCAACUAUAUUUUUGGAAAUGACACCUCUGUCUUACCUAGCUCAAGGAAUUUUUUGUCAACACCAGAGAGUAGAUCAAGGCCCUCAUCAGCUGCAUCAGACCAUACCAAACACACAGCACAAAUCCCUUAUCUCAAACCUGAGUCUUCCAUCACUCUUGAAAAGGCAGAAAAUCAGACUUUAUCCAUAAUCUGUGAUAGAAUGAAUCAUCCUUUCUCUAACCCAAUAGACUGUUUUAAUUGUUUUGAUGACCUUGCUGACACAAAGACUCCCAAAAGCAUUGCAUCUGUCCCGAACGAAUGUAAAGGCAGUGGACCACCAGUUCUUAGCCAAAUGCAGAUCUUGCCAGCUUCAAUCUCUAAAACCUCAGAUUCUGGAUUGUCCACAGUAAAAAUUGAGAAAAAUCAAGAAAUUGUCACUGAUAACACAACUGAUUUAACUGUCUGUGGAACAUUAACUUCCACAAGUCCAUGGACCGCAUCUGUGCCGAAACCAAUAGCAUCUAUAGAGAAGAAACAAUGCCAUGUUGAGGUUUCUGAUAGCAGCAAGGGAACAGAAAUGUUGAAAAAUUAUUCCCCAGACAGUAACAAGAGGCUUAGUCAAGUGCCUAUAGCAUUAAGAGAUAGCCAUGGGGUUAUCAGUAGGGACAAUGGUGGUGAAUUUGACAGGCAGCCAUGCAGGGAAAAGGAAGAGAGUGGAAAGAAGGAGGGAGAGGGGAAGGAUACUAUGGGAGAGAGUAGUUACAGAGGGGAACAGGUUGAGCUGUCAUUCAGGGUCAGGAAUAGAAAAGGGCCUGCAGGCCACAGCCCAGCUCGCUCAAGUCAAGACCCAAAGUCAGGAAUUCCAGCUCGCUGUUAUUUUGAGUCGCACCCAACAACUCUGCAGCAACAGAGUCAGCUCAGAGCUCAGGGCUCACAACAAGAGAAUAAGGUUGGCGCCAGGAGGCUCCAUUCAGCUGCCCAGGGUAAAUACAGCAGUGCAGGCUUUCUUUCUCCUGAAUGUACUGGUAAAACCUCCAGCAUGCGAAGUGAAUUUGAUGAAGUAGACAAUGAAGUAAAAUGGUUUACAGAUCCAGCCUUCAGAAGCCUAUCUAGCCCUCAAGUGGAUUAUUUGGAUGUGUACAAUUCAAGCCACAGGUCAUCUACAAAUGUUUCACAGGCUUCGACCGUAGACAGCCCUGGUGCUGUUGCAUGGAUGACAUACGCAGACUUACUUGGCUCAGCGUUACAUGAAAACGAUGGCUCAUCUUUUCUUCCCCGUGAUGGCCUGGACCCAAACAAACACUUUGAAAUAGGGAGUUUUGAGUGUGUGGACGUUGCAUUAGAGAGCCGGGAAGAGUCCAGUAGAGGAAAGAGGACAGUGCCUAAAAGGCAGAUCCAGCUGUUAAGGCGGAACACAGAUGAAUCAAAAUAUAAAGGAAACACUGAAAAUAUACUGAAUUCACCAUCCACACAUAGACGCUCAAAAGACACAUUUGUUCGUCAACAUAGCACACCAGCAUUUGUGCAAAAGGAAGUUUCCAAGGAGGUGCCAGAUUCACCACAGAAUGAAAGGAAAAAGACACUGCAGAAGUCUGUGUCUUUAGAUGAUGGCUCCCCUAAGACACAAAUGGCAUCUUGCAUUAUCAAGAGUGUGUUGUCAAAGAAAAUGCAGGAUGUGCAGAAAGAGACACCAAAAAGUACAGAUCCAGGUCGAUCUGCAGAUAAAAACAAACAUCCUGAUGUCAGCCCCGGCUCUUUUUGUGGUGUACCAAGUACCAUGGAGAAACAUAGUUUAAGCUCUAGUCUACAUUCCCAGUGUACUCUUUCAUCUGAAGAUUUUGCUGUCGGAGAGGAGAGAAUUUCACAUCGUCAGCCGAAGAAGUGUGCUCCAAAAGUUCCUCCAAAACCACUCUUAAGACCUGCAUUCUUUAACACUGGGGAAGCUCAGGUAGCUUGCAACAUUACAAGGGAAGAAGCAAAGCCUAUAUUGGCCCCUCCAAAAGUUGAUGACAAAAUCCAAAACUGCAAGAGUGAUGGGAAAGAAGGGGGAGGUAGCAACCUUGAAGAGAAGUACAAUAUUGAGUCAGCAAAUGCCAAUAUCAGGAAUACAAGUCCUGCUGUUGCUACACCAGCAAUCAGCAUGCCAAGCAGAAUGACAAGCCGAGACAUAAAAAAGUGCCAGAUGACACCGGGAAACCAGGAACAGCUGGCUGGAAAGAGUGUAUUUAUGUCAAAAACCCCAGAAAUAACUUUGAAACCUUCUUCUAUCAAACAAAAAAAGACAUCUUCUCUAAAAGUGUCUCUGUCCCCUGACUUGGAACAGUCCAGAGAAAUGUCUGAAUCUCAGACAAUAGAGAAUGCUGCAGAAGAUAUAAGCACCAGAUCUACCAAAGUCACAGAGACAGAAGACGAUGACAGAAACAAAAAAUCUGUUAUACAUAGAGUUAGGGAUGUGAGGAAGUUGGUAAAAAACACAUACAACCUGUCUUUCA